rnacentral:rRNA from 1 species
AACGAACGCUGGCGGCAGGCUUAACACAUGCAAGUCGAGCGCCCCGCAAGGGGAGCGGCAGACGGGUGAGUAACGCGUGGGAAUCUACCCAUCACUACGGAACAACUCCGGGAAACUGGAGCUAAUACCGUAUACGUCCUUCGGGAGAAAGAUUUAUCGGUGAUGGAUGAGCCCGCGUUGGAUUAGCUAGUUGGUGGGGUAAUGGCCUACCAAGGCGACGAUCCAUAGCUGGUCUGAGAGGAUGAUCAGCCACACUGGGACUGAGACACGGCCCAGACUCCUACGGGAGGCAGCAGUGGGGAAUAUUGGACAAUGGGCGAAAGCCUGAUCCAGCCAUGCCGCGUGAGUGAUGACGGCCCUAGGGUUGUAAAGCUCUUUCGCAGGUGAAGAUAAUGACGGUAACCUGAGAAGAAGCCCCGGCUAACUUCGUGCCAGCAGCCGCCGUAA